GAUGAACGCUAGCGGCAGGCUUAAUACAUGCAAGUCGAGGGGCAGCAUGAAUGUAGCAAUACAUUUGAUGGCGACCGGCAAACGGGUGCGGAACACGUACACAACCUUCCUAUAAGUGGGGAAUAGCCCAGAGAAAUUUGGAUUAAUACCCCGUAACAUAAUGAUGUGGCAUCACAUUAUUAUUAUAGCUACGGCGCUUGUUGAUGGGUGUGCGGCUGAUUAGAUAGUUGGCGGGGUAACGGCCCACCAAGUCUACGAUCAGUAGCUGAUGUGAUAGCAUGAUCAGCCACACGGGCACUGAGACACGGGCCCGACUCCUACGGGAGGCAGCAGUAAGGAAUAUUGGUCAAUGGACGCGAGUCUGAACCAGCCAUGCCGCGUGAAGGAUUAAGGUCCUCUGGAUUGUAAACUUCUUUUAUCUGGGACGAAAAAAAGCUAUUCUUAGUCACUUGACGGUACCAGAUGAAUAAGCACCGGCUAACUCCGUGCCAGCCGCCGCCGUAACAC
rnacentral:rRNA from 1 species